rnacentral:rRNA from 1 species
GUGGGGAAUAUUGGGCAAUGGGCGAAAGCCUGACCCAGCAACGCCGCGUGAAGGAAGAAGGUUUUCGGAUCGUAAACUUCUAUCCUUGGUGAAGAUAAUGACGGUAGCCAAGAAGGAAGCCCCGGCUAACUACGUGCCAGCAGCCGCGGUAAUACGGAGGGUGCAAGCGUUAUCCGGAAUCACUGGGUUUAAAGGGUACGUAGGCGGUUAAUUAAGUCAGUAGUGAAAGACUGUCGCUCAACGACGGAUGUGCUAUUGAUACUGGUUAACUUGAAUCAGGUUAGAGUUGGCGGAAUGGGUCAUGUAGCGGUGAAAUGCUUAGAUAUGACUUGGAACACCGAUAGCGAAGGCAACUGACUGAGCCUUGAUUGACGCUGAGGUACGAAAGUGUGGGUAGCGAACAGGAUUAGAUACCCGUGUAGUCC